rnacentral:lncRNA from 1 species
AUGAGUUCAGCACUUGGAUCUUCCAUCUAUUUAAUGCCAUUAUUGCUUUAUAAUUAUGUAUUCUCAGAUGAUAACUUUAUCAUUCCUUUUUUUAAGCAGGUUAUUCUUGGAAAUAUCAUUCAACGUUCUUAUACCAAUUUUGCAUCAGUAACAACAGUCUUAUUGUUUGCAAUAUUAAAAUCCUAUGAAGUUUAAUGUGUAACCCAGGUGGUCCAGAGGUAUUUUGCCAUCUGCUGCUGUUCCUGCUGUUGCUGCCAUGUCAUUCUGGAUUGUUAAAGUGAAUAAUGACUCACUACAAGUCUCAGUGAAAGGCACCCUUGAUACAUGACUUUGAGAGAAGGUAAUUUUUUCUUCCGUCUGAUUUUAAGAGAGUACGAUCAUCAAUCCAGAUCAGCUCAGAGAGAAACAAACAUGCUUAAGUAAAAUGUAGGAUUAAAAACCUCUGCAAAGAUGAAAGUACAAUUGUGUACAUUUCUUCCUCCUUUGCUACAUGUUCUGAGGUUAUAACAUGAGGAAAGCAGGUUUCCAGCCCUGUCGCUUUAUGAUGCAGUCACCCAAGAAGGGGAAGGAGAAAAGGGGGGAUGCCCUGGUCAUAACCUCUAUUACUGGAAUCUAUUCCCGAAAUCGAUUUCAGAACACCUGUUCAAAACUCCUGGCUCAAUUCAUUACCCCAUUGGGUCAUUGUCUGUGCUUAUAAAAUCUAUAGUAGCUAAAAACAAGAUUUCAGACCAAAUUGGGUUCGUCUGUGGACUCUGGUUUUAAUCUGAAGCCCUUAUAUUAAAGUCAGAUCUUGCUCAGAUCUUGCCCAGUUUUCCCCCUUUAAACAUGCCUCUUGCCCCCCAAAGGGCAUUGUGGGCAUGGCAGAUGCCCUCUCACAGGUCAUGCUGUUCCCUCCCGGGUUAUGAUGGUUGUAUAAGAUUUCUACCUCCCCACCUUUUCUGUUGGGUGGGAUAGGCAUGAAGAAGUUAUAACAGAUCACAGAUCUAAUGACAUCUUUCUCCCCAUUUUUUCCCUGAACUUUCCUCUUAGAGUCAAGGUUAGCAUUAUUAUUUCACGUUAUCUAGAUUCAAAACUUCAGUUACAACUUCAGAUUCUUUGCUGCUUCUCUCCCCAUAGAGCCAAAUCUUGUCAUAGCUCUCCUGACAACAUCUCUGAAAUCUUCCCUCUCGUCUCUCCUCCCACACCCACUACACCC